AUUGAACGCUGGCGGCAUGCCUUACACAUGCAAGUCGAACGGUAACGCGGGGCAACCUGGCGACGAGUGGCGAACGGGUGAGUAAUGCAUCGGAACGUGCCCAGUAGUGGGGGAUAGCCCGGCGAAAGCCGGAUUAAUGCCGCAUACGACCUACGGGUGAAAGGGGGGGAUCGCAAGACCUCUCGCUAUUGGAGCGGCCGAUAUCUGGUUAGCUAGUUGGUGAGGUAAAGGCUCACCAAGGCGACGAUCAGUAGCUGGUCUGAGGGGACGACCAGCCACACUGGAACUGAGACACGGUCCAGACUCCUACGGGAGGCAGUAGUGGGGAAUUUUGGACAAUGGGCGCAAGCCUGAUCCAGCAAUGCCGCGUGAGUGGAGAAGGCCUUCGGGUUGUAAAGACUCUUUUGUCUAGGGAGAAAAGGUUAGUGGCGUAAUAUCCACAACU
rnacentral:rRNA from 1 species